CAUGACGUGUGUAUAUCGGAUCUCACGUGUGCAGCUUAGUUGCCCAUUUGUUAUUUGUUCACAUAACAACUAGAGUUAUCUCUCUUACAUUGCGUUGGUAAUCUAAGUGAUCCGUCUCCAUUUGACCAUCAUUGGUUCGGUGUUUUAUAAUUUCGUUGUUCCUGCGCACGAUUUGCCUGCUCCAAGCACACUUUACAAAAUAAUGGUUUAAUGUAUCCCUGCAUUGUGUAAUUGAAUUCGAGGUAUUCCAAGAUGAGCCUUGUGAGAGAAGUGUUCUAUCGUCAUUGUCCGACAUUGGCGGAAUAUUUCAUCCAUUAAUGAGACGUCACCAGCUGCAGGUGAAGUAACACAAAUUUAGCGCUCAGGGGCGCAGCAGUGAAGGUUCUUAAACCAUAAACAUCUCAUUCAACGAAGGACACCCCCUCCCUUCCGAGACCAGCAAUCUGACACCUCGAUAAACUUUGAAAUACGAUAUUCAUCUGAUAUUUUCAAUGUUCUUAACUUUUCCGUGAUUGUAGAAGUCACUGUUACGACUUUUUGUAAUAAUUCAUUAACAGUUACUGACAUGUACAAACACGUGAAUAAACACAAAAAAGUUUAACAUGUGUUGUAAUGACAUACAUAUUGAAAGUAAGUAAUAAAUCGAAAACAGUCCAAUAUGUCAGAUAUCGAAUGACUCGGGACUGUUCUGGGAAGUUUGCGCUUAUAACUACAGUUGAAACAUUUUACCGAAAUUGGGUUGUACACUACCUAGCAAUGUCCAGGAAAUUAGGCCAUUGUUUAUAAUAUUAUAGCAGUUAUUAUGAUUUUGACCAGAAGAAACCACGUGUAUUCAUAAAUGUCGCACUGGACAGAACUACCAUUAUAAACCCAUUCGCAAUGAUGAGUUUCAAAAUUUGAAAUUAUAAACGACCGUUCGUUUUGUCUUUGGUCAACUAUUUGGCAUGACGAAUUAAGCUUGCAUUCGUAAAAUUAUCAUCUAAUUUUCAAUACGGAGAGAGAUCAUUUAUACUGGAUUUUUAAACUACAUAAAAACCCUUACAAACAAAGAUACAAUGCUGAAUUCAGUAUGUACUUUACCAAGCCCUUAUCUUUGCUCCUCACGAAAAUGUUAACAGUUGUGAAGGAGAAACUUCAAACUUACUAUGCAACUACAUAUACCAGAAGUGGUGUAAAUUAAAUGUGGAUUGUAAAAUAUUUUCAAAGAACUUUUAGUAUACCUGAAAUCGCAAAACUUUUCUCAAAACCUAUGACUUUUCAACACUUUACACGACCAUUCCUCACGAUAAAUUAAAGACUAGA